rnacentral:rRNA from 1 species
UACAGAGGUCCCAAGCGUUGUUCGGAUUCACUGGGCGUAAAGGGUGCGUAGGUGGUGGGGUAAGUUUAAGGUGAAAGCUCCGGGCUCAACCCGGAAAUGGCCUUGAAGACUAUCCUGCUCGAGGGUUGGAGGGGGGACUGGAAUUCUCGGUGUAGCAGUGAAAUGCGUAGAUAUCGAGAGGAACACCAGUGGCGAAGGCGAGUCCCUGGACAACACCUGACACUGAGGCACGAAAGCUAGGGGAGCAAACAGG